UUCUUCCUCUCUCCGUCCAUGAGCUUCUUCCUCUCUCCAUCCACGAGCUUCUUCCGCCACUGCCGCCACAGCUCGCGUCCCACGAUCUCUCUCUGUCAUCCCUUGCGUCGCACGAGCCCCCUCCUUGUGGUUCUGUUGCUUAGGUUUCUAUCACAUGCUGGUAUCUCGAAACCGAUGGAAAUUGAUGUAUUAGUUAGCCUCUUCUGUUGUUCUAUUAUAUCUGCAGAGACGCUGUGGAAUGGUGGUUGACUUCUAUGCUAGUUGCUUUCUUACAGUGAGUCAGAGUUCAACAGCAACCACCUUAAGAUGGUGUUUUGCUCUUAAUAGUUUGAAAUUGGAUUUCAAGACAAGGAGAAUGUUUGAGGAAAAGGGUGUUACAGGUUACAGGCAGGAGAGACAGAGCCAAGCCUCUGCCAUUCAAGAUGGAUUCUAGCGGCCCAUGGGGCUUUGCCGGAGCUAAUAAAAGGAACCCAAGAGUCAGAUCCAAGUUUAUUGCACCAUGUUAUUAUAUGAACAAUUGACUGAACAAAAAUUGACGAGAAGGAAGGUAUAAUCUUUUCUUGUUUGAGGUUACUUGCUUGUUAGAGUUACUUGCUUGUUUGAGGUUACUUGCUAAGAUUAAAGCCUCGCUAUCUUUCACUUAAAAUUUCUGAAGGUUUUGAUAAAUUUUACUACCAAUAGAAGCAGGAGGCUAAUCUGAUUCAAUCUGCUCUUAUUGUCAAUUAUCUAUGUUUCCAUCUCAAUGUGUUCCUGUCCUAAAUAACAUUGUUCAUCUUUUGUUGUUUAGGAAGCUUGCAGACAAAAUUGCAGCUUCUGAUUACUAUGUGGUUGUUUCGAACUUCUUUUAUGGUGAAUCCUAUGAUCCUCAGAAUACUAAUAGACCUUUAGGAAUUGAGAGUUAGUGAUGGCGUGGGUGUAAAGUCUUUAAUGCAACUUGUGUUAGUGAUUAGAAAAAUAAAAUAAAAUAGAAUAGAAGUUACCCACAUAAAUGUUUGAUAAGCAAUAAGCAAUAAGCUACUUCGGACCUGUCUCAGCUGCCAAUAAGGUUAGAAAUCAGUAUCGUUUGUCCAUAUAUGUAUUUGUUGCUGCAAAUCAAUGGCUUAUUGAAUUCUGUUUUUGGCUACAGUUUUUCUCAUCAAAUGGUUUUCCUUGCCCAAGUCUCUAGAAUCCUCCUGACCACUUUGUAAAAAAUUAUUAACAAGGAUUUUGAACAGGAAAUAGAGUCAUGACUGAGGAAAGAGAUGUGAAACGAUCUGCUCUUCCAAAGGCAAAUGCUGAUUCGAAGAUGCAUUUUUAUGAUACAUAGGGUUUCAGAUUGAAGCCACUUCCUGGAUCUAGUGGAAUCAACAAGUCUGGAGGCUCUUCUGAGCCUUCUACUAUUGGGGUGCGUAAUAUGCUUGCAAGUGAGCAAGAAUGUGGAUCUCUUCACAGGGACCAUAUAGCUGAGCAGAAAGUAGUGGUAAAGGGAAGCAAUAGGUUUUUUGCUCAUCUUGACAUUGCCAUGUUCUAAUAUAUGACUACAAUCUAGUUGCUGAAGAAUUCAAUUAAUAUCUGCAUAAUGGCCAUUGUUGACAUUUAUAUCCUUUUAGAAUUGAUAUUUAUUGGCAAAUUGGUUAAUCAUUGAUGUUGAUUGCUCUUGUAAUUAGAUCCAACAAUCAGGAGGAUUUUCCAGCAUCAUUGAUGUUGAUUAAUGAUUGAUGAGGAUUGCUCUUGUAAUUGAUGUUAGCUAUUAGGAGAAGGUUAUAGCGUCAAGUAGUUCUAGUGCAGUUCCACUACCACCGCCACCGCCGCCACCCUCAAUGUCUUCGGACGAGGACUAUGAUGAUGAUGAGGAUGAAGAUGUCAUUGAAGACUAUAGCUGAUAGUUUUAGUAUGGUUGAACAAUAUACUAGGAAUUAUAGUUGAUGAUCAAUACAUUUUGUUUAU